AUGCCAUGAUGGGGACAUUGUCUAAGCAGCUCCUUAACUCUUUCCCAAGCAUCAAAUAGAGACUCGUCCUCUCCUUGUAUGAAUAAAGUUAUCUCAUUUCUCAUUUU